rnacentral:rRNA from 1 species
UACGUAGGGGGCGAGCGUUGUCCGGAUUUAUUGGGCGUAAAGAGCUCGUAGGCGGUUCGGCAAGUCGGAUGUGAAAUCUCCACGCUCAACGCGGAGGGGCCAUCCGAUACUGCUGUGACUCGAGUCCGGUAGGGGAGUGUGGAAUUCCCGGUGUAGCGGUGAAAUGCGCAGAGAUCGGGAGGAACACCCGUAGCGAAGGCGGCACUCUGGGCCGUGACUGACGCUGAGGCGCGAAAGCUAGGGGAGCAAACGGG